rnacentral:misc_RNA from 1 species
GUUGGUGAGUAUGGGGAUUGACCUGCAGAAUGCAUCAAAAACUUCAAGACAAGAUGUUUUGUGAUAAGCCAAAAAUUCAACAAGGCAAGCUAUUGCUGCUACAGGUAUCAUAGAAACUUCAAUGAGAAAAAUCAAAUUAAUCUUGAAAGGCAGAAAGUAAGGAGAUGACAAGUAGCUCUCACACCCCUUCCCCUUUAGAUGGAAAUCAUUUUCAAGUCCAAUAGCAUCCAAAGAACCAAAAGACACAUUGCUAGCCAGUUGCUGCCUAUUUUUCUCCUUGUCAAUUUCAAUUUUCCCCUCGAGUUAGCUAAACUAAAUUGUUAAAAAUACCAAGCUACCAACUGUAAUCUCCCUCACAAAAAGGUUCACGUAGCCACAAUUAAAGUAGUCAGCAAAAUUUGAAGUGUUAACUGGUAGUAAAGUGUUUGUGCAAGGGUCAAUUCUUUGAAGUAUCAAAAUAACGAGGGACAGACUGUUAGUAAAUCUUACCAGUAAAUUCUGUGGCUUAAUA